rnacentral:rRNA from 1 species
GAUCCUGGCUCAGGAUGAACGCUAGCUACAGGCUUAACACAUGCAAGUCGAGGGGCAGCAUUGGUCUUAGCUUGCUAAGACUGAUGGCGACCGGCGCACGGGUGAGUAACACGUAUCCAACCUGCCGUCUACUCUUGGGACAGCCUUCUGAAAGGAAGAUUAAUACAAGAUGGCAUCAUGAGUCCGCAUGUUCACAAUGAUUAAAGGUAUUCCGGUAGACGAUGGGG